UCUAAAUUUCUAAUGAUGAGUGCGCGCGCUAAAAACGUUAUGAAAACAACUGAAAAUAUUCAACUUGCCACAUGUGAAUAAAAUCUAGAUUACUGUAGAUAUCAAUGAGAUAAUGAAAUAUUAACAGAAGCUAGCUGUGUUGUGAAUGUUAUUCCUUUUCAGGUCCUAUUUCAGCAAACUCCCAGUCCCAGUGAUGAAUGAGUGGAAAAUCUCAUAAUUCAGUAUCAAUUCUAUUUCCCAAUCCCAGUGACCUGCGAUGUACUGUACUGUAUUCCCAGACCCCUCCCAUCCAACCCAACCUUGUACAGCAGGAAAAAGAAAACUCACACAUAUGAAAGGAGAAUAAUAAUGAACAGUAAAAGAAGAAAUAAAAAACUCACCAGAUAUGGAAUGUGCUGUUGAACACAUUGGUUUUUCUUAGUUUGUCUAGUUGAGCCUGGGCGUAACGCAUUUGGUUCUCGACACUGUUGAUACAAGAUAUGAAGUCAUGUGACAAUAUUUAAUGCAGGGCUGAAAAUAACCGCUAGUCAUCAGAAAAUGUCUGAACAGAAUUAGAACUUGUCUGGUCAAAUCUUUGCCUUGAAAGUCAAAUUUCUGACUGAUAAUGAUGAGCCAGAAAUGAGGAAGAUGGUUAGUAUGAUUGUAGAUACAGUCAACUCUUGCCUUGCGAACACCCCGAUAUUACGGACACCUUGCUAUUGCGGACAGGAGAAAAAUCCCUGGCUAAAAAUACUGACAAAGAAAUGACCAAAAUUAUAUUAACUCUCCCUAUUGCGGACGCUCGCUAUGACGGACAGUAAGUGAAGGUCCAAGGGUGUCCGCUGUAACAAGAGUUGAUUGUAAUGAAAAUGGUKGUUAGGAUUUCUCUAUGUACUCAGUGUUUUUACAUCAUCCUGAUAUUGUUAGUGAUAUUAAAGAGCGGAGAUAUGGGACCACCAUUUAAAGUGGUCAUCCAAGUCA